AAAUAUAUGAGUUUAAUCUUAAGACAAUUCUAAAUGCGAUUAUAAGUAUAACCAUACUCUAGCCCUAACUAGAAGUCAAGUUGAGUAUUGAUCUAAGUUUGAGUAAAACUUGAGCCCUAAUUCAUAGUAGAUUGGUUAAGAAUAGUCGCGAUUGGAAUAUUAAAAUAAAUCAAAUUACUUUCAAUUAAUUGAUAUUUUCUUUUAAUGUUAAAAGAUAUUUUAUGUAGUUGAGCGGAGUUACCACAAUGGUUGUGGCCUUCCUCCUUCUUCCUGC
rnacentral:lncRNA from 1 species